AUUGAACGCUGGCGGCAGGCCUAACACAUGCAAGUCGAGCGAGCGGCGGACGGGUGAGUAAUGUCUGGGAAACUGCCUGAUGGAGGGGGAUAACUACUGGAAACGGUAGCUAAUACCGCAUACCAUCAGAUGUGCCCAGAGGGGAUUAGCUAGUAGGUGGGGUGACGGCUCACCUAGGCGCCGAUCCCUAGCUGGUAUGAGAGGAUGACCAGCAACACUGGAACUGAGCCACGGUCCAGACUCCAACGGGAGGCAGCAGUGGGGAAUAGUGCACAAUGGGCGCAAGCCUGAUGCAGCCAUGCCGCGUGUGUGAAGAAGGCCUUCGGGUUGUAAAGCAAUUUCAGCGGGGAGGCGUUACCCGCAGAAGAAGCACCGGCUAACUCCGUGCCAGCAGCCGCGGUAAUUC
rnacentral:rRNA from 1 species